rnacentral:rRNA from 1 species
UUCCCACCCAGNCAUNGAGGAGCCUGUUCUAUAAUCGACUCUCCCCGAUAAACCUCACCACUUCUAGCCAACUCAGCCUGUAUACCUCCGUCGUAGGCUUACCAUAUGAACGUUAACUAGUGAGCUUAAAGAUCUAUUCUUCANNGGUUCGGGUCAAGGUGCAGCUCACGAAGUGGGAAGCAUUGGGCUACAAUUUCUAACAUAAAACACACGAAAGACUCCUUGAANCNCNGUCGUGAGGGCGGAUUUAGCAUUAAAAAGAAAUAUUGANAGUUCUUUUUAAUUGGGCACUGGGACGCGUAC